UUCUACAGCCAUGCUACCCUAAACAAGCCCAAUCCCAUCUGAUCUUGGAAACUAAGCAGGGUUGAGCCUCAUUAGUACUUGGAUGGGAGACCACCAAGGAAGACCAGGUGCUUUAGGUG
rnacentral:rRNA from 1 species